rnacentral:rRNA from 1 species
UACGGAGGGUGCGAGCAUUGUCCGGAAUCACUGGGCGUAAAGGGCGCGUAGGCGGCAUGCCAAGCGUGUGGUGAAAGCCCGGGGCUCAACCCCGGGUCGGCCGUGCGGACUGGCAUGCUCGAGCACUGUAGGGGCGGGUGGAAUUCCGGGUGUAGCGGUGGAAUGCGUAGAGAUGUGGAGGAACACCGAUGGCGAAGGCAGCCCCCUGGGCUGAGAUUGACGCUCAGGCACGAAAGCGUGGGGAGCAAACAGG